rnacentral:tRNA from 1 species
CGCUAAGAAGCUAAACAGGACCUAAGCGUUAGCCUUUUAAGCUAAAGACUGGUGACCACCGACCACCCUGAGCGA